ensembl:lncRNA
GUUUUUCCAGUGGUCAUAUAUGGAUAUAAGUAUUGGAUUGUGAAGAAAGCUGAGUGCUGAAGAAUUGAUGCUUUUGAACUGUGGUGUUGGAGAAGACUCUUGAGAGUCCCUUGGACUGCAAGGAGAUCCAACCAGUCCAUCCUAAAGGAGACCAGUCCUGGGUGUUCAUUGGAAGGACUGAUGCUGAGGCUGAAACUCCAAUACUUUGGCCACCUCAUGUGAAGAGUUGACUCAUUGGAAAAGACCCUGAUGCUGGGAGGGAUUGGGGGCAGGAGGAGAAGGGGACGACAGAGGAUGAGGUGGCUGGAUGGCAUCACCGACUCGAUGCACGAGCUCAGCAUAAUUGACUGUUCUUAAGACUGAGUGAUCAAGAAAAAUGAAAAGACAUUAAGUACCAAGGGACAGCACUACGGAUUUUACAGAUACAGGGUGUGUGAUGUGUGAACGUCGCUCAGUCGUGUCCAAAUUUUUGUGAUCCCAUGGUCAUAUAUAUGCUGUGGAAUGUUAUUCAGCCAUGAGUAAUCAGGAAAUUCUGCCAUUGGAAACAAGAUGGAUGGACCUUGAGGACAUUAUGUUAAUAAUGUUAAUAUGGCAAAUAAGUCAGACGGGGGAAGACAAAUAGUGCAUAUCCCACAUACAUAUGAAUCUUAAAAAGUUAUGCUCAAGGAAACAAAAUAGAAUGGGUAUCACAAGGGUCUGAGUUGGGGGGUUGGGGAGAACUUGCAGAUGUUGGUAAGAGGGUGCAAACUUCCCAUUGCAAGAGGAAUAAUUCUAGGGAUCUAACGUACAGCAUGAUGAUAAUAGUUACUAACAGUUUACUAAAUACUUGAAGGUUUUUGAGAGAGUAGAUCUUAAAUAUUCUCACCACACAAAAGGUGGUAAUUAUGUGACAUAAUGGAGGUGUUAACUAAAGUUAUGUUUGUGAUCAUUUUGCAAUAUAUAAGUGUAUCUAAUCAUUACAUUUUGCACCUUAAACUUCUACAAGAGAGUAUGUCAAUUAUAUCUCAGUAAAGCUGGGGAAAAGGAAAAAAAUACCUCCCUUCCCCGCAAAAGAACCAUAAACCCAGCUUUCUGUGGGUUUCUUCUCUCAGUUUGGAAGAAUGUAUAUUUGCUAACUGGAUCUGAGAUCUCGCUCAAGGUAGAAGAUAUGUUUUUGUUCCCAUACUGUAUUCCUCAGUUCAGCUUAUCAACAAGGAAUGCCAAUUCAAAGCUCAGAACUUACUGGGCCUGGGGAAUACAUUAGAUCUAUAGAAUGUAUAGAUUGAAACUGAAAAAAAGUCAAAAAAGUCAAUGCAAGAAAUAAA